GACGAACGCUGGCGGCGUGCUUAAAACAUGCAAGUCGAACGAAGUGGCGAACGGGUGAGUAACGCGUAAUCAACCUGCCCUUCAGAGGAGGACAACAGUUGGAAACGACUGCUAAUACCGCAUACUGAAGGAGGAGAUUGCGUCUGAUUAGCUAGUGGGAGGGGUAACGGCCCACCACGGCGAUGAGCAGUAGCCGGUCUGAGAGGAUGGAGGGCUCAAUUGGGACGGAGAAACGGCCCAGAGUCCUACGGGAGGCAGCAGUGGGGAAUCUUCCGAAAUGGACGAAAGUCUGACGGAGCAACGCCGCGUGAGUGAUGACGGCCUUCGGGUUGUAAAGCUCUGUUAAGCGGGACGCGGUACCGGAAUAGAAAGCCACGGCUAACUACGUGCCAGCAGCCGCGGUAAUUC
rnacentral:rRNA from 1 species